rnacentral:rRNA from 1 species
GACGAGGGGUCCAAGCGUUGUUCGGAAUCAUUGGGCGUAAAGCGGGUGUAGGUGGAUUUGUAAGUCAGGAGUGAAAGCCCCGAGCUUAACUUGGGAAGUGCUUUUGAUACUGCAAAUCUUGAAUGUGGGAGAGGAUCGUGGAAUUCCAGGUGUAGUGGUGAAAUACGUAGAUAUCUGGAGGAACACCGGUGGCGAAGGCGGCGAUCUGGCCCAACAUUGACACUGAGACCCGAAAGCGUGGGGAUCAAACAGG